rnacentral:rRNA from 1 species
GACGAACCGUGCGAACGUUAUUCGGAAUCACUGGGCUUAAAGGGAGCGUAGGCGGGCUAUCAAGUCUGGGGUGAAAUCCCGCGGCUCAACCGUGGAACUGCCUCAGAUACUGACGGCCUCGAGGGAGAUAGGGGCAUGCGGAACUGUAGGUGGAGCGGUGAAAUGCGUUGAUAUCUACAGGAACACCGGUGGCGAAAGCGGCGUGCUGGAUCUCUUCUGACGCUGAGGCGCGAAAGCUAGGGUAGCAAACGGG